GGGCCCGCACAAGCGGUGGAGCAUGUGGCUUAAUUCGAGGCAACGCGAAGAACCUUACCUGGUCUUGACAUGCCCGUCAUAGUUUUCCGAAAGGAAUUCGUCAGUUCGGCUGGACGGUGCACAGGUGCUGCAUGGCUGUCGUCAGCUCGUGUCGUGAGAUGCUCGGUUAAGUCCGGCAACGAGCGCAACCCUCGUUUCCAGUUGCCAGCGGGUAAUGCCGGGGACUCUGGAAAGACAAACCUCUUGUUGAGGUGGGAAGGUGGGGACGACGUCAAGUCAGUAUGGCCCUUACGACCAGGGCUGCACACGUGCUACAAUGCCCGGCACAAUGGGAUGCAAUAUCGCGAGAUUGAGCAAAUCCACAAAACCGGGCCCAGUUCGGAUUGGAGUCUGCAACUCGACUCCAUGAAGUUGGAAUUACUAGUAAUCGU
rnacentral:rRNA from 1 species